rnacentral:lncRNA from 10 species
AUUAGUUUCCAGAUGUGGCUGAAGGCAAACAGUAAUUGCCCGGUUUAAUGGAAGAUGGUUAAGCCUGUGUUGGACAUCUGCUGUCUUUGCCGCCCUAGUCUGCAUUUCCCAGUAUUCUGCCAGCAGAAACCGCUGAAGCUCAUGAUGUGAGGCAAAUCCUCUCCGACUGCAAUUCCUCCCUAACUACAUUCCCCUGGACGCUUUCCUUUACCUGGCACACCACUGAAAAAAAGAAGAGGAACCCAUGUUUCAAACCAACGGAUUGUUUAGCAGCCACAUCUGUACAAGCUCAAAAAAAAAAGAAAAGAAAAAGCCUGGGUGCUUUCUCCUUUGGCACCAGCGAGACAUCCAAACCAUGGAAACCUCUGCCCAUAUGGAAUGCUCACCCUGGUCCCACGGUGAAUCAUAAUAGAGACCCAAGCCAGUCACCUUUCCUGGCCCUCACAAACCAUUUCUGACCUGCUUGAGAGGUCUGCCCGGUUCUCCCAGAGACCUCAAUUAUCCUUUCAGAGCUGGAUGCAUAAGUCAAGCAGCAUCAAUGCCAAUGACCUGUGAGGAAACAUUUAAGAAGGAGACACUACCUCUCUUUUCUGAAGAAUCAAAUCAGUGACUCAUUCUAAUUCUCUUGGGUGUGUGGAAGGAGGAUGAGAGCUUUGAACCUACAGCUACUGUUUAGUAACUACGAGGCGAUGUCCUGAGAUUUCCUACUAGGUCUCUGUCUGAGGAUGUAGUCAGUAUUUGAAAAAAGAACAGAGGGAUAAGGAGAAAAAUCAUCUGUAGCAUGACUCAAGUUGCUGGAUCUAGCCUCACCUGAAGAGAUACAUCUUGGACUUUUCUGUUACAUGACCUGACAUCUUCUCUUUAAAUAUUUUUUGUAGACACAAUUCUUCAUGUGGACUUAUGUAUUAAAUUUUAGCUGAAUCCAUGAAAUAAAUUUUUAUAAAUGGCUCAAAUACUCCAAGUUAAUGCUUACUUUUAUCUUUCUUUCCCUUAAUCUGAAAACUGCACAAUUCAAUAUAUUUUUAUUUUGAAAAUAAAACAUUGAGUUUUUAAGCCAAGGGUUGUGACAUACUAGGAAGAAAGAAAUCCAAC